rnacentral:rRNA from 1 species
GUAGUGCACGCCGUAAACGAUGUCUACUUGGAGGUUGGUGUCUUGAACACUGGCUUUCGGAGCUAACGCGUUAAGUAGACCGCCUGGGGAGUACGGUCGCAAGAUUAAAACUCAAAUGAAUUGACGGGGGCCCGCACAAGCGGUGGAGCAUGUGGUUUAAUUCGAUGCAACGCGAAGAACCUUACCUACUCUUGACAUCCACGGAAUCCUGCAGAGAUGCGGGAGUGCCUUCGGGAACCGUGAGACAGGUGCUGCAUGGCUGUCGUCAGCUCGUGUUGUGAAAUGUUGGGUUAAGUCCCGCAACGAGCGCAACCCUUAUCCUUGUUUGCCAGCACUUCGGGUGGGAACUCCAGGGAUACUGCCGGUGAUAAACCGGAGGAAGGUGGGGACGACGUCAAGUCAUCAUGGCCCUUACGAGUAGGGCUACACACGUGCUACAAUGGCAUAUACAGAGGGCAGCAAGACCGCGAGGUGGAGCGAAUCCCACAAAGUACGUCGUAGUCCGGAUUGGAGUCUGCAACUCGACUCCAUGAAGUCGGAAUCGCUAGUAAUCGUGGAUCAGAAUGCCACGGUGAAUACGUUCCCGGGCCUUGUACACACCGCCCGUCACACCAUGGGAGUGGGCUGCACCAAAAGUAGAUAGCUUAACCUUCGGGGGGGCGUU